UAUGGCCAUAUUACAUUGAAACACAUGUUCCUGUAUGAUCACCGAAGUUAAGCAAUGUUGAGCCUGGUCAGUACCUAGAUGGGUAAUCACUUGGAAAUACCAGUUGCUGUAUG